rnacentral:lncRNA from 1 species
GACCUUUCUUGGUUUAAUCUUUGACCAGUGGGGAAGACCAGAGCCCUAUCCCUGCCCUGUCCCUGCUUGUCCCUUUAGGAAUGUUGCUGAGAAGCUGGUACCUCAGAAAUCAGGGUCUCCAGCUUCCCUCUGGCUCUUAGCAGAGGAGAAGGCAGAGGCCCACAGGAGUAGCAAGUCCAAAGUCAUACAGCAAGUCUGGGCAGGACCAGCUUG